GCAGCCUGAUGCAGCAACGCCGCGUGAGGGAUGACGGCCUAUCGGGUUGUAAACCUCUUUUAGUAGGGAAGAAGCGAAAGUGACGGUACCUGCAGAAAAAGCACCGGCUAACUACGUGCCAGCAGCCGCGGUAAUACGUAGGGUGCAAGCGUUGUCCGGAAUUAUUGGGCGUAAAGAGCUCGUAGGCGGUUUGUCGCGUCUGCUGUGAAAUCCCGAGGCUCAACCUCGGGCCUGCAGUGGGUACGGGCAGACUAGAGUGCGGUAGGGGAGAAUGGAACUCCUGGUGUAGCGGUGGAAUGCGCAGAUAUCAUGAAGAACACCGAUGGCGAAGGCAGUUCUCUGGGCCGUAACUGACGCUGAGGAGCGAAAGCGUGGGGAGCGAACAGGAUUAGAUACCCUGGUAGUCCACGCCGUAAACGUUGGGCGCUAGAUGUGGGGACCAUUCCACGGUUUCCGUGUCGCAGCUAACGCAUUAAGCGCCCCGCCUGGGGAGUACGGCCGCAAGGCUAAAACUCAAAGGAAUUGACGGGGGCCCGCACAAGCGGCGGAGCAUGCGGAUUAAUUCGAUGCAACGCGAAGAACCUUACCAAGGCUUGACAUACACGAGAACGGGCCAGAAAUGGUCAACUCUUUGGAC
rnacentral:rRNA from 1 species